CCUACGGAUGGCUGCAGUGGGGAAUAUUGCACAAUGGGGGAAACCCUGAUGCAGCGACGCCGCGUGAGUGAAGAAGUAUUUCGGUAUGUAAAGCUCUAUCAGCAGGGAAGAAACCCACCCUCCGGGGUGGCUGACGGUACCUGACUAAGAAGCCCCGGCUAACUACGUGCCAGCAGCCGCGGUAAUACGUAGGGGGCAAGCGUUAUCCGGAUUUACUGGGUGGAAAGGGAGCGUAGGUGGCAAGGCAAGUCAGAUGUGAAAACCCGGGGCCCAACCCCGGGAGUGCAUUUGAGACUGGCUGGCGAGAGUGCAGGAGAGGUAAGUGGAAUUCGUAGUGUAGCGGUGAAAUGCAUAGAUAUUAGGAGGAACACCAGUGGCGAAGGCGGCUUACUGGACUGUAACUGACACUGAGGCUCGAAAGCGUGGGGAGCAAACAGGAUUAGAUACCCCAGUAGUC
rnacentral:rRNA from 1 species